rnacentral:rRNA from 1 species
UACGAAGGUGGCUAGCGUUGUUCGGAUUUAUUGGGCGUAAAGGGUCCGCAGGCGGUUUGAUAAGUCAGGUGUGAAAUCCAACAGCUUAACUGUUGACACGCAUUUGAUACUGUCAGACUAGAGUAUGAGAGGGGUGAGAGGAAUUUCCAGUGUAGGGGUGAAAUGCGUAGAUAUUGGGAGGAACACCAGUGGCGAAGGCGGCUCACUGGACCGGAACUGACGCUGAGGCACGAAAGCUGGGGGAGCGAACAGG